UUAGAAUUGGGUCAAUUACGCUUAUUAGAAGUAGACAAUCGAGUAGUGGUACCAGCAAAAACUCAUCUACGUAUGAUUAUAACAUCUGCUGAUGUACUUCAUAGCUGGGCCGUACCCUCCUUAGGUGUAAAAUGUGAUGCUGUACCUGGUCGUUUAAAUCAGACUUCCAUUUUUAUUAAACGAGAAGGAGUUUACUAUGGUCAGUGCAGUGAACUUUGUGGAACUAAUCAUGCGUUUAUGCGUGCGCCCGAAUAAAUAGGCCGACUGCUGAGCCCACUCUGGCUCAGUCGCACUUUCUCGAACAGGGCAAACCUGGGUGCGAGCUACCCAAAAAAGCUAUCAUAGCAAUAUCAUGGCUAGAGCAGUAGGGAAAAGCCGGGGAUCGAUGGGCCUGCCCCCAUUAGGGCUCCCCGGUAAAGCAGAGGAUAUGGUUAGGAUAACGAGCUUGAAACGCGGAGCCCGUCUUAAGCUGGACCGAACGUCCCAAGCAGGAUAUAGCGGCGAGCGAGUGGUUAGUAGACCAAUAGUGUCAAACCCGCAGUUGAUGGCAUUAGCUUCUGCGGCACUCGAGGAACCACAGGGCACUCCAUAAAGAGCAAGUCCGAGAGAUCAGACGCCCGCGCAAGGACCUAAAUUCUCACUAGGAGGUAAAACCUAAUUCGGACCUAUGGAAGUCGGGGCUAAGCAUCCCCAUGACAGUGUCGUGAGGGAGUUCAGAGGCCUCAUAGUAUUACAGGCCUGUUCAGGUCAUGCGAAGGGGGCCAAUCCAAGAUCAUACUUUUCCUUUACUAAGACAACAGAAGCUCUCAACAAGUCUAUACGCUAGUUUACGCUCAAGUUAAACUGGACAGAUCUUGUUCGUCUCUUGACACCAUAUAGGUAAAGAUCUACAAAAAAAAGCAAACACGGCAGAUACUACGGAUUCACCCGGAUAUUGAGCGAUCCUUUGUCUGGUACGAGGCUAUUUAAAGAAAGCACAAAAAAAUGACACCGAGAUCUGGAAGGAAUACUCUGAAUAAAAAAAACCCAGCCCAUUUAGUAAAUAAGCCGAGCAAAAGUUAGUUAUUUUUCAAACCACCGGAAAUACCCAAGCCACGCGAGAUCGGAACGAGGGCAGCAGCAUCGUGUAAAAAAACCUCCGGCUAAUGCUGGAGGUCAUAUUUUUUGCCUAUUUUAUUUGGUCGCCCGCGCGCAUUUCGGCCCCACAGAGGAGGCCAACCAAUUACACGCGGGCCCGGGCCCGCUAAGGGCCCAAGGCCAUAAACGUUUUUAAGUCUGAGCAAUUAGCGCUCCCGUGUAAGAUUGUAGAUGCGAGCUGGGGCGCCAAAGUUGACCGACCCGCUCGGGGUUAUUUCGAUUGUGUACUAUUUGUAGAUCUAAUCGGGGAGAUAUGCAUAGAGGUGAGAGACGUGAGAGCUAAAAUUCGCUCGGGAAAUGUUACCUAUGACCAGUGUAGGUAUGAAACUGCUGUGUGGACAACAAAUACCACGACGCCGCCAACAGUGACUUGUGGGCUGCGGCGCAGAUGAAGAUACUGAGAACUCUAACUAUUGUGGAGAAGGUUACCUAAGGUCCAAGGUUAAGAUCUAGGAAGGUGAGCAGUACGAGCUGAAAGGCUCCCAUACUGUUCGGAGGGCAGGGGCUUUUCCUGACCCCUAUCCAUUGUUGUAGAAGCUGUUUCUUUGGAUGAUUAUGUUUCUUGGGUAUCAAAUAAAUUAGACUAAAAAGCAAACACAGGACGAAUUAUGAGUGUCUCUCAAAAGCAUCCUUAUCAUUUAGUAGAUCCAAGUCCAUGGCCUCUUUUGGGUUCAUUGGGAGCUUUGGCAAGCACCAUUGGUGGUGUUAUGUACAUGCACUCUUUUACGGGAGGUGGAACACUUCUUAGCUUAGGCUUGGGAAUGAUCCUAUAUACUAUGUUUGUAUGGUGGCGCGAUGUUAUACGUGAAUCCACUUACGAAGGACAUCAUACAUUUGUGGUCCAAUUAGGACUUCGCUAUGGUAUGAUUUUGUUCAUCGUGUCUGAAGUCAUGUUUUUUUUAGCUUUCUUUUGGGCUUUUUUUCAUUCUUCUUUGGCACCUACGGUAGAAAUUGGAGCUAUUUGGCCCCCUAAAGGAAUUGAUGUGUUAAAUCCUUGGGGAAUUCCUUUUCUAAAUACCCUUAUUCUACUUUCAUCUGGAGCUGCCGUGACUUGGGCUCAUCAUGCUAUAUUAGCUGGAUUCAAAAAACAAGCUGUUUAUGCUUUAGUAGCUACCAGGCGACCGUUAGAUUACCAAGGAAACUUUUUGAUUACCUCUCGUAAUCAUACCAUUGCUGAUGCUCGCAAUGAGACGGAUGCAACUUACCAUUUAAACCAAGCGGGACAAUAGCAUGUUGCAAAAGGAAAGGACAGGGUUGACCAACCCUAGAGAACUUUUCCGACCGUGUCUUGGAAAUAUAGCCGAAUGGGUCAUUCAUGAAUGUGAGGUGUUUAUGAGACACUAACUCAAGCGUGUUCGGUCAGGUUAUUGAUCAAUCAAUAAUAUUACAGCGCUAUCUCCUCCAUGGCAGAAUGGUAGCCUGCCUGUGGCAGAGCAGGAGGAGGUCCCAAUUUCAAUAUGAAACAAAAACACUGGAAGCACGGCUGCUUUUCUGUUCGAACUAGCGCUAUUAGUUGGAAAUCUUAUGUGUUUUCAUGUAAGUAUAAGAGUACCUUGGUAGUACCGGUGAACUAGAUAGCCAUGAUCCGGCUAUCUGGGACGGAGGACUCGUAGUAUCCGCCUACUCGAAAGAGAGCUGACAACAGUAAAGCACUUGACUCGAUCUUAUUCGUUUAAGGGCAAAGCGAGAAGGAGUCUAAAUCACUGUACAGAAAUGAUUUUCAUUUAUGGACGUUACCUGAUUGACACGGGAAAUCUGACUUCAUGUCUGAAUAGAAUUAAGCCUAAGCCUUUAUAAAGGACUAUGUGCCAAACAGACGAAAAAAUCAGGUUGGUGAGCCGUGUGAUAGGUAACUAUCUCGCACGGUUCGGAGAGCACUUUAUUAUGUCAGACGAGUAAACGGCGACCAAGUUGUACGGCUCUAUGAAGUAACUUUUGACUCUACCAUUUUGCUAGCUCUAGUCUUCACCGGGUUUCAAGGAAUGGAAUAUGUAGAAGCACCCUUCACGAUUUCCGAUGGUAUUUAUGGUUCUACCUUUUUCUUAGCCACUGGGUUUCAUGGUUUUCAUGUCAUUAUAGGUACCAUUUUCCUAAUAAUAUGCGCUAUUCGUCAAUAUCUAGGGCAUUUUACCCAAACGCAUCACUUUGGCUUUGAAGCAGCUGCUUGGUACCGGCAUUUUGUUGACGUGGUUUGGUUAUUCCUAUUUGUAUCUAUUUAUUGGUGGGGAGGUAAUUAAAAAAAGGAGAAAAACUCUGAAACAGUUUUUUUACCAACCUAAUCAUACUUUAUUUAAAGAUAGAACUUAAUUUAGUUUGCUUUUUUUUUUAAGAACUGAGCUUGUAAUGAUGGUGGUAUUCGUGAUUAAUUCUAGCGAUUCUAAUAUGGAUCCUAGUACUUUUGGAAGGAAGGUAUCCGUAUACCGUUGAUGUCACGAGGCAAAUAUUUUGAUAGACUCAAAAGUGAUCAAUAACUUAAUUAUUACUCUAAGAGGAAGCUUGAGGUCUAUAAGGGCAUUAUGAUGUCAAUUCAGAGGGCAUAAAAGGCGUCCCGACCUUGCCGCUGAAAAAAGAAUAUGUUUGCUAUGCCCUAUCACGUAAUAUGCAACCUGCCUUUUUUCCAACAGCAGUCGAAUGGGUAAAACCGUAGCUGCUUAAGAGCAACCGUUAGAUUUGCAUAAGAAAAGCGAAGAAGGUGGUUGACCAACGCCGCGCGGCACGCGCGUGCUUGCCCUAGGCCGGUUUGCUUAGGGUGUUGCUUACGCAGCGCUUUGGAGAGGCCUCGUGCUGAUGGUAGACCAGUAACAUUUUUGUGGGAACCGAAUAAUAAAUAUAGCUCCGCGGUCUUCUUCGUCCAUUAUGCGGGGGUGCGCGGCUUAUGUGAGAACCCGCGCGCCCCCCCCCCUCCUUUUUCGUUUGUUUGGUCUCGACCGCCUCGUUCGUAAAACAAAGUUUACAUACAUAUUAAAAUAGAUGGGCUAGAUGCACUAAACAACAAAACUACUUCAUUAAUUAUAGGAAAUGCUUAUAUGUAUGUAUUUUGGAAAGGUGCAUAGCACUUGGUUGGUUUUGCAAACAAAAAAAGAAAAUAUAUAUAUAUAUAUAUUUUUUCUUUGUUUCGCUAAUCAGUAGAAAAAUAUACUAUGCUCCGCGGCCUAGUUCAUUUUACGAGCUUGUUGGAUCAGCCCCGAAUUGAAUCAAAGCUUUUCAAAGGCUUUUUAGUCGGUUCUCCGAUUAGACUAAGAAAAAUAGAAAUUAAUACAUUCUUCUCGCGCGAGUGUUUUGUCAAUGCCUAAGGGCAAGGAGCCGUAAACCCGCGGCAAAAAAAAGAUAUAUAUAGCUCCGCGGGUAGGUGUCUGUUUUCUGGCCAUAGCCAAUUAAGGUGUCAUGUCCAUAAUUCUUAUGACAUUUCACAACUUUAUUUGGGGGCUAUCAUUCAUUCAGGCUACUUUAAGCGGUUUAACUUUCAAUCAUCCGCCUUAUCCCGUUAGCCUGCGGUCCACAACCCAUGUUUUUCCAAAGCUAUUGUAAAAAAAAAAUAUAUAUAUAUAUAUUUUUUUUGUAGCUUUUUGUAUGAAAUGAGAUAGAAAAAAAAGCCAACAAAAUGAGACUGUAUAUCAUUGGUAUUUUAGCGAAAAUACUUGGAAUAAUAAUACCCCUUUUACUAGGAGUAGCCUUCUUAGUUCUAGCUGAACGUAAAGUAAUGGCUUCUAUGCAACGUAGAAAGGGUCCUAAUGUAGUGGGAUUGUUUGGAUUGUUACAACCUUUAGCAGAUGGUUUGAAAUUAAUGAUAAAAGAACCUAUUUUACCAAGUAGUGCUAAUUUAUUUAUUUUUAUAAUGGCUCCAGUAAUUACAUUUAUGUUAAGUUUGGUUGCUUGGGCUGUUAUACCGCGCGCCGUGCAAGGUGCUUUCGUCGCUAUGGGGCAUAUCCUGGUGCCCGAUCUCCAGUCUGCGUCAAUGGAGUAAAUCACCCAGAGGUAGCGUUGCCGCAAUGCGCGUGGAAAAGCAUCUGGGAAACCAAGUCACAGGAGACCCUUCAAAGGAUGACUCGGGAGAUACUGUUGGGGUUGAUGAGGCUGACGAAUCCGAAUUACGUAGCUGCUGAACGACAGCAUUCACCAAGCCAGCGGGUAAGGACUUGGUCCCGUAAUCGGUUCUUUUGGUAGGUAUAACGGAGGCCGAAGACGGAAAAAAAGAUUUUUUUUUUCGGGGGCAUUCUCAGUAAGGGAAUAAUACUAUGCGGACAUCUUACCUCAACAAACAGGUGAAAAAAGUCGAAGACGCAAUCACGGGAUCGACCUACUCUCUAGCGAGAGGGUCGGCGGAGCCGCUGUAGUAAGUGGAUAGGGAAAUCGACCAAGCUAGGUACGCACUGAAGGGCGGCAGUCAUGAUUCGAUGGUAGAGGGUGCAGCCCUUUCCUUGCCACAGAUGUGGUGAAGGCGGCGACGCUUCAACUCUUCUGAGAAGACGGGUUGGUCAUAGCAGACAUUCAAAUGCUGCUACGAUCUCAUUCAAUAAGUACCUCGUGAAGCGCGUCAAUAUAUAUAUAUAUUUUUGUUGACAUGCUUUAGUAAAUCAGUGGCGGAGAGCUUUAUGACGGGAAACUGUCACGUAUGGUUCGGAGGGCGGGGAAAUCUCCGACCCCUACUUUUGAUUAUGGUAUGGUAUUGUCAGAUUUAAAUGUAGGUAUACUUUAUCUAUUUGCUAUAUCUUCUCUAGGCGUUUAUGGUAUUAUUACAGCGGGCUGGUCCAGUAAUUCUAAAUAUGCUUUUUUAGGAGCAUUACGAUCUGCAGCUCAAAUGGUUUCUUAUGAAGUUUCUAUCGGUCUUAUUAUUAUUACUGUACUAAUUUGUGUAGGCUCUUGUAAUUUUAGUGAGAUUGUAAUCGCGCAAAAGCAGAUAUGGUUUGGCAUUCCCUUGUUUCCUGUAUUUAUUAUGUUCUUUAUUUCUUGUUUAGCAGAAACUAAUCGAGCUCCUUUUGAUUUACCAGAAGCAGAAGCUGAAUUAGUCGCGGGCUAUAAUGUAGAAUAUUCUUCGAUGGGUUUUGCUCUUUUUUUUUUAGGGGAAUAUGCUAAUAUGAUCUUAAUGAGGUGUGGAGCUUUGCAUCUGACAUUCGUUGGGCUGCGGCCCUCUGCAGGAGCCAGUGUCCUUUUAAGGGCCUUGUGCAGUAAACCCUUCUGAGCGAUCUGAAGACUAGUAGGCCCGCGAAGCUUUCGGAGAAGGGUAGCCUGGUGUGUCAGCACAACAACGAAACGCGAACCCAUCGGAUGACCUAUCUAAGACUAGGGAGAUACCCUAAGUGGGUACCUCGUAACUUUUCCCCAGACCUAUACGUGUACCGAAUGCUCAUACGGGAAAGUGCGCUCCUAGGUCUGGAACCGGGGAGGGUUGCUGCGAGAAAAAACUUCUCGUCUCAUCCAGGGGGUGCAGACACACUUGCGCGAAUUACAGGUGACAGCUACAAGGGUGGCGGGGGAAGGAAACGGUACCCCAUAUCCGGGGAUGAAUGUAAACCCAUUGAACAGGGAUACUCAUUCUGGUUCUGGGAGAUAGAACUCAGCGGCGGUGGUAGACAUUAGUCUGAAAGUCGGGCUACGCGAGCCUAAGUCACUAGGGCGCAAAGCGCAGCACCCAUAUGCGGACAAUAGACUACUACUCGCGUAGCGAAUCCAGUCUAAACCAAGCAGCUUAAAACCUGACGGAAAAUAAACUUUUUCCGCUCUGUGCCGAUCAUCCACACUCAAACAUCCAUGCCAGGCCUUCGUGAUUCGGAAACCUAGGCGUAGCUCUGGUUAGAGGGGAUGAGACUCCAGAUUUCCAGAACGGAGCCGUAUGACGCGAGAGUGUCACGUACGGUUCUUUGAGAAGGGUGUGAAUCUCUAUUAUUCUCAGGCCCCCAGGGGCCACGAAGCUGCACCCUUACUCUCCUAGUCUAUGUACAUUGCUCUUUCUAGGAGGUUGGCUGCCCAUCCUAGAUAUUCCUAUUUUCCAUGUGAUUCCGGGUUCUAUUUGGUUUAGUAUCAAGGUUCUUUUCUUUCUGUUUGUAUAUAUAUGGGUCCGUGCGGCAUUUCCACGAUAUCGUUAUGACCAAUUAAUGAGGCUUGGUUGGAAAGUAUUCUUACCUUUAUCAUUAGCUUGGGUAGUUUUUGUAUCUGGUGUUCUAGUAGCCUUUGACUGGCUCCCUUAAUUCAUGGAACAAUUUCACUGCAGUGCAACUAAAAAAUAUAUAUUUUUAAUGAAAAAAAACUCCGUUAAAUAGCAGCUCGAAAACCAAAUGAAUUGAUUAGAAGAAAUAGAAAAUAAUAUAUUUUAUUCGUUCUAUUAACUCCGUAAAUGCAGGCUUUGAGCGUUCUAAAACGAAUAAAAUAUAUAUAUAUAUAUAUAUAUAUUUUUUUUUUAUCUAAGGCCUUGUAAUGAUGGGUAAAUCCUGCCCAUGAUGGAUUGCGUUAAUCAUGAAGAACACAAAGUUUCCAUGAUCCGCGAAAACGAGAAAGCACGAAACAUUAAUAUGGCAAGACGACUAUCGAUUCUUAAACAACCUAUAUUUUCUACAUUUAACAAUCAUUUGAUAGAUUAUCCAACCCCGAGCAAUAUAAGUUAUUGGUGGAGUUUUGGUUCGUUGGCUGGUCUUUGCUUGUUCAUUCAGAUAAUUACAGGCGUUUUUUUAGCUAUGCAUUAUACGCCUCAUGUGGAUUUAGCUUUCUUAAGCGUAGAACACAUCAUGAGAGAUGUGAAAGGCGGCUGGUUGCUUCGUUAUAUGCAUGCUAAUGGGGCAAGUAUGUUUUUUAUUGUGGUUUAUCUUCAUAUUUUUCGUGGUCUAUAUUAUGGAAGUUAUUCGAGUCCUAGGGAAUUAGUUUGGUGUCUUGGAGUUGUCAUUUUACUUUUAAUGAUUAUAACAGCUUUUAUAGGAUACGUACUACCGUGGGGUCAAUUUGGCCCCUCCUUCUACUAAUAGAAGGAUAAAAAAACCCCACUAAAUGCGGGAAACUCUUUAUUACUAAGGUACUUUUUUCCCAUGUAAGGCGCGAAAUGGACGAUUUUUGGUGGCGAUCCCUAUAAAUUUAGCGUUGCUGUCUGUCUUGCGUGGGUUUAAAUUCUAAGUAAAAAUCCUUAGCAUGGCAUCAUAGACAAUCCGCAGGAAAACUCUUGCUACACGAGAAUAGGCGUCUUCGGCCUUGGAAAAAAUAGCAUAGAGAUUUCCUCAGAGACUACACGUGGGGUGCCUAGUCUAUCAGUGAUCUUCGGCUAGGUAAAUAUAUAGUCCCAUUUCUUUCUAAAAAAUCAUGUCUAUUUCACUCUAAUGAAUGAAUAAAUAAAGGGCCUCCAGCCUAUUGGAGUCUUAUGGUCUAUUUAAGCCGUAUAUUAAGGUUUUAUUUAUAAGCUUUACUUAAGCAGCUUUUUAACCUUUUGCCAUAACAGACCCGGGAUAUUUUCUUUUAAUAGGGUUUACUUUAAGUUCUUGCUCCGGGGAUAUUUAAGUAACACCCAAUUUGACGAAUAAUAGUAAGGCCGAAGGCCCGCCAGUAUCUAAGAUUUCAAAUCAAAACCUCGGCUAGUUUGAAUUGGUUCCUGUUUUCUUUCUUUUGGGGCAGUUAAGAUAGUUUCUAAGAAAAUUCUGGACUAUUCGACUCUUGGAGCACUAGCCUAUUGGCUUAUGAAUGAUGAGGCCAAAGAGCGCGCGGGCCUUAUUCAUACAAAUAGUUUUACCAAAAUACUGCAGAAAAAAUUUCAUAGCAGGGCUAAUUCUAGUAAAAAAUAAUUGAAAUCGCUGCUCGAUAUUUUGAGUGAAAUGCUGAAAUGAAAAAAACCGGUGGAGCCUGACAUCAUUCAUCUAGAAAGUCUAAAAAGGAUGUAGAAAAGACAUGGUUUGGGGGAAUUUAGGCAAAUGAGUUUUUGGGGAGCUACAGUCAUUACAAGCUUGGCUAGUGCAAUACCUGUGGUAGGAGACACUAUAGUAACUUGGCUUUGGGGUGGUUUCUCGGUAGAUAAUGCUACCUUAAAUCGUUUUUUUAGCCUUCAUUACUUACUUCCUUUUAUAAUAUCUGCCGCGGUUAUUAUUCAUCUUGCUGCAUUGCAUCAAUAUGGCUCUAAUAAUCCAUUGGGUAUCAAUUCUUCUGUGGAUAAAAUAGCUUUUUAUCCCUAUAUGUACGUAAAAGAUUUAGUAUGUUGGGUAGCUUUUGCCAUUUUUUUUUCUAUUUUUAUUUUUUAUGCAC
rnacentral:lncRNA from 1 species